UACGGAGGGGGCUAGCGUUGUUCGGAAUUACUGGGCGUAAAGCGCGUGUAGGCGGCUUGGCAAGUCAGGCGUGAAAGCCCUCGGCUUAACCGGGGAAGUGCGUCUGAAACUGCCUUGCUUGAGUACGGGAGAGGGAGGCGGAAUUCCCAGUGUAGAGGUGAAAUUCGUAGAUAUUGGGAGGAACACCGGUGGCGAAAGCGGCCUCCUGGACCGAUACUGACGCUGAGGUGCGAAAGCGUGGGGAGCAAACAGG
rnacentral:rRNA from 1 species